rnacentral:rRNA from 1 species
CGCUUGGGGAGUACGGCCGCAAGGCUGAAACUUAAAGGAAUUGGCGGGGGAGCACUGCAACGGGAGGAGCGUGCGGUUUAAUUGGAUUCAACGCCGGAAAACUCACCGGGGGCGACCGGCAUAUGUGGGCCAGGCUGACGACCUUGCCCGAAUAAGAGCCGGAGAGGUGGUGCAUGGCCAUCGUCAGCUCGUACCGUAGGGCGUUCACUUAAGUGUGAUAACGAGCAAGACCCCUGCCCCUAGUUGCCACCUGUCCCUCCGGGGGCAGAGCACACUAGGGGGACUGCCGGCGAUAAGCCGGAGGAAGGUGGGGUCAACGGUAGGUCAGUAUGCCCCGAAUCCCCCGGGCUACACGCGCGCUACAAAGGGCGGGACAAUGGGUUCCGACCCCGAAAGGGGAAGGUAAUCCCGAAACCCGUCCGUAGUUCGGAUCGAGGGCUGUAACUCGCCCUCGUGAAGCUGGAUUCCGUAGUAAUCGCGGGUCAACAUCCCGCGGUGAAUACGCCCCUGCUCCUUGCACACACCGCCCGUCAAACCAUCCGAGUCGGCUCUAGGUGAGGGCCCGCUCACUUCGGGUGGGUUCGAACCUGGGGUCGGCGAGGAGGGUUAAGUCGUAACAAGGUAUCCGUAGGGGAACCUGCGGAUG